CAGUCGCCGCGGGAAUACGUAGGGUGCGAGCGUUAAUCGGAAUUACUGGGCGUAAAGCGUGCGCAGGCGGUUAUAUAAGACAGAUGUGAAAUCCCCGGGCUCAACCUGGGACCUGCAUUUGUGACUGUAUAGCUAGAGUACGGUAGAGGGGGAUGGAAUUCCGCGUGUAGCAGUGAAAUGCGUAGAUAUGCGGAGGAACACCGAUGGCGAAGGCAAUCCCCUGGACCUGUACUGACGCUCAUGCACGAAAGCGUGGGGAGCAAACAGGAUUAGAGACCCCUGUAGUCCCUGUCUCUUAUAA
rnacentral:rRNA from 1 species